AUGCCUACGGGACGCAGCAGUGGGGAAUUUUGCGCAAUGGGGGAAACCCUGACGCAGCAACGCCGCGUGCGGGACGAAGGCCCUCGGGUCGUAAACCGCUUUCAGCAGGGAAGACCACGACGGUACCUGCAGAAGAAGCUCCGGCUAACUACGUGCCAGCAGCCGCGGUAAUACGUAGGGGGCGAGCGUUAUCCGGAUUCAUUGGGCGUAAAGCGCGCGUAGGCGGCCGCCUAAGCGGAACCUCUAACCCCGGGGCUCAACCUCGGGCCGGGCUCCGGACUGGGCGGCCCGAGGU
rnacentral:rRNA from 1 species